AACCCAUGAUGAGGGCACCUUUCUAAUAAAUCCUUAUACCUCUCCUAUGCAUCAUAUAAUGUCUCUAAAUCAACCUGUACAAAGGAAGAGAUGUCGUUCCUCAACUU
rfam:Gossypium raimondii chromosome 10, whole genome shotgun sequence.